ACACAUGUGGAUUGAGAUGAAUAC
rnacentral:miRNA from 1 species